rnacentral:rRNA from 1 species
UACGUAGGGGGCAAGCGUUGUCCGGAUUUACUGGGCGUAAAGAGCGUGUAGGCGGCCACGCAGGUCCGUUGUGAAAACUCGAGGCUCAACCUCGAGAUGUCGGCGGAAACCAUCUGGCUAGAGUCCGGAAGAGGAGAGUGGAAUUCCUGGUGUAGCGGUGAAAUGCGCAGAUAUCAGGAAGAACACCUAUGGCGAAGGCAGCUCUCUGGGACGGUACUGACGCCGAGACGCGAAAGCGUGGGGAGCGAACAGG